GAUGAGCUGGACGCUUGAGUACGGAAGAAGAUUAGGGUCAGACUGUGUUUGCCGAAUUACAAGAGAUGCUUGGGCAGAUCCAGAAGCAAUGAGUUCUGCUGAUCCAGACACCAGCUCAGACCCAAACUGUGCAGCCAGCAGACGUUCAUGACCUGUUUUAAUCUUCUUUUUUAACUUAAUUUGUUGACUCCAUCCUUCUGGUUGGCGCUAGUUCAAUCCAAAGUUCAUUUUUAACUGCCCGUUGUCUUUGUACAUCCAUGGCUCCCACCGGCAGCAAAGUUAAACCACUUGAGUGAGAUACGUGUUCCAAUCCCAAUGCAGUCCUCUGUGCCCUAUCUUGCAAUGUUAAUGAAAGUGAAAAAUAAUUUGUGCAUCUGCCCCGUGAUUUGAAUUUGCUUCAAAAUUGAAAGACUUUUUCCUUGGCCCAUGGAAUACACUUCUACCAAGUUUCCUGAAAUCGGGCCAGUAGUUUUCCCAUAAUCCUGCUGACAGACAAAUAACCAAACCACAUCACAUGACAAGUUAAUACCUGUCAGUGGUGAUGAAAUCAGACAAGUUUCAAAGCCUAGUGUAUUCAUACCAAUAAUGAAGUACGAGAGAGUUUGUUUGGCUUUGUAUGUUUAACAGAGAAAUCCAAUAUUACUCUGAUACUAUUUCAAAUGUUUGCCUGUCUUUGCACUAAGCUAAGCUGCUCACUGUGGCUCAUAUUUAGACAGGACAGAUAUCUAACUCUGAGCAACAAAGCAAAUAAAUGUUUCACUCAAAGUGGCAAAAUAUUCCUUUAAAACACAUCUAACUCACAUUACCACCAAUGCAUCUUGUCCCAAACUGGAGCAAUGUAUGUGUUUAUCAUUAUAACACUGACAGCAAUGUUCUUUACAAAUAAUCGAUCUGGUAUUGUAACAAACAGUCUUAAUGUCACAGCCUGAGUCCACACAAUGCGAUCAUUUGUUCAGCACCCAGAAGGCACUGAAAGAAUGGUGUACUGAUGAGCUGGCCUCAGCCCUGCUGCA